GACGAACGCUGGCGGCGUGCUUAACACAUGCCAGUCGAACGGACAGGCCCGGCUUUUGUGGGGUGGGCGAGGGGCGAACGGGUGAGUAACACGUGAGUAACCUGUCCUUGACUUUGGGAUAACUUCAGGAAACUGGGGCUAAUACCGGGUAGGAGCUCCUGCUGCAUGGGGGGGGUGGGAAAGAUUCGGCGUUUGGGGAGGGACUCGCUGCGUAUCAGCUUGAUUAGGUGGUAGUGGCUGAGCAAGGCUUGGACGGGUAGGAGGGCUGGGCGGGUGACCUGCCCCAUCGGGCCUGAGCUGCGGCACAGCCUCCUACGCGACGGAGCAGUGCGGAAGAGUGCAUUAUGGACGGAGCGAUAGUGUAGCACCGCCGCGUGGCGUAAGACGGCCUUCGGGUUGUAAACCGCUUUUGUUUGUCACGAAGCGUGAGUGACGGUAAUGGGUAAAGAAGCCCCGGCUAACUACGUG
rnacentral:rRNA from 1 species